ensembl:lncRNA
CUCUCCUCUCCUCUCCUCUCCUCUCCUCUCCUCUCCUCUCCUCUCCUCUCCUCUCCUCUCCUCUCCUCUCCUCUCCUCUCCUCUCCUCUCCUCUCCUCUCCUUUUUUUUUUUUUUUUUCAUUUGGUGGACAAUACAGAACAUCUCCAAACGUAUUGUUUCAAGUAAAUUCCCUUCAACUUUUCUAUUUGAGAUGACUGGAUUCCAGCUCCUGAUGAAAGACUGUUUUCUGAAGUGAGAUCUGAACCAAAGGCCAUUCACAAUCUUCAUAGAAACAUUUCUAUUACUGUUAAAUUUGAUAACAGCUUGUUUUUAUAAAAUAAGACAUUGAUGCCAAAUUGGAUCUGGCAAUCUCAUUUAAAGAGGUGUUAUUCUAGAUAUAAAUAGGAAAUGUUUAGACUACUGAUCCCGUGAUUAAUGAAUGUUUCCACAUCCACAUAGCAGCCAAUUUUCCCUUUCCUUGGAGAUUACUCCAUAACAUGAUUUAGAGGAGGGUCAAAACUUCGGAGCCUCCAUGCUGAAGUAUAUGAAAAAUAACAUUUCUGUGGAAAUACUGGCAUGUUUUUCUCCCUUUGAAAUCAAAUCCAGGUAUUCAAACUUACUCCAGUGGGAGUGGAAACCAAGACAAAGUCUUCUGAAAGAUUUUAGUUCACGCUUCUUUUUUUUUUUUGAGGGCCAAGGAAGUUUUCCUUUGCAAGAAUUUUCAGAUUUCCUUAAGUUCAUUCAUAGAAAAUCACUCCAAAUAUCUUGACUACAGACUACAAAAAACUCUUUCCUUCCUCUUAGACACCCUUAAUUUUUUUCCUUUUUUUUUCUCUUAGACACCCUAAAUUUUUUCCGGACAGGGGAAAAAAAGUGAACUUAGUAGUUCAAAAACGUAUUGUGUGGAUCUAGCUAGACACUCCCAUUAGUCUUUAGGCUACCCAUCUAAUUGCCUGAUCUAAUUGUCUGACCAGAGUACCAAUUUAGAAUAACAAUAAGACGGGGCAGAACUUGCUAACUAGUACAUACUGUCCCCAGACCAGCAAACCAAGGAAAAGAGAAAAAUACAGUGUUUAUGUCAACCUCUAUAUUCUCUCUGCAAGGUCAUAGAAACCUCAAGCACCCAAGAGAGACCAGGGCCAUCAGGACAGUUGUUUAACUUAACACUUUCAGUUUGAAGCCAAGCUUAUCAAUAUUCAUUUGUUGGAACUUCUGAGAAGGAGAAACUUCACUGACCAGAGGAUCUUCAGGCAAAUUGAAAAGAAAAAUCAGAUGGAGAAAACAUACCAGUGAUUUUCUCAUGAGCUCACAGGCAAGUUUAGACUUACCCUUGAGAGCCAGCCAGGUGUUCUGGAGCUUCUGCGAGGUGUCAGGAUCUCUCUGCUUUUGCUGGAAGCAGCAGAAAUAGGCAGGACUCCACAGGAGAUAGGAUUACAGUUCAGCGUCUGGUUUUCUUUCCUCUGAACUCUUUGGAGAGGUUUUGCUUCUGUUUUAUCAAGCUCAAUACUGUUUUUCUCCUGCUUCCGCCAUAUGCAGGGCAUUGAGUUCUCCAGUAGCUCUUCAUCUUAUGAGGAGUGGAAAUCUCUGUACAAACACUCGCCUAUACCAUAAAGGCCUUCUGAGGUAAUUACUUGGCAGAAAGACUCUCUUAUGUAAGAGCAGUUGCCCUAACCUAAAGUGUUUCUACUUCAUAGUUUUCAGGACUGAAGGGUGUUUAAAGUUAAUAACUCACUGUGUAAUAGUUAGCUUGCAAAAAUGCAGUUGUUCAUAUGUGGAAUGUUCAUAUUUUCCUUAGCAAAAUAAAUAAAUCAACCAGAUGUGGCAGAUAGGAGCAUCUUUGCUACUGUCUAGUAGACAGGGAAAAGCUAUAUAUAAUACACAGCUUCAUUCUGUAGGAAUAUAUGUAUAAUAUAUAUAAUGUGUAUUUAUUGUGCGUUGUACCUAAGUACUAAGUUACUUUCAUUAAGAACAUGACCUCAAGUUUUCUGCAGUCCCCGAAACUGCUACUGGCCCAAACGUCUUUGGGUAGUUACAAGACUCAAAUAUUUAAGUUUAGAAGUCUCCAGUGAAGUCCAUGUAAUUAAGAACUCAAUGAAAACCUCAUGGUUAUGCAAACUCUGAGCAGGGCACAAGCACUCUGAAAGUCUGGUUCAUUUCUUGAGGUGCGUAGUCUUAAGCCACUACUUCUCUGAGUCUAACCAAAAGACUACCUCACCCAUUUGAAAUACAGUUGUCCUCAUGGUCACACUGACUUUAUUCACUACCAAGUAAAUAAACUACUCCAUGUUUAUUGCUUUUCUUGCAUGUGUGGGAAUGUGUUUACUUACAUUUCCUUAUUUAUUUUGUGAUCAAUUUGUAUUUCCUGAAGCAACAGCUUUCAGAUUCAAACCUGGAUGUUUCCUGUACAAUCAGCCAAUAUUCAAGGCAUAGGCAAGUUUUUGCUCCCCUGUUUAAAGGUAAUAGCUGUGCUGUAUGUUUUUGUAUCAUAAUUUCAAGUACAGACAGUAACUUGCUUAACUACUUACCAGUAGACUGUCUUCAUCUUCUAAUUUGAGCAGCUUGUACCAUCAAGCUUAGUACAAGCAGCCAUGCAAGCAUAGUUCUUGGCAACACAGAUACAGGAAUGACUGCAGAAGUUGGAAUCUGGCUUUAAGAACAGGGCUACAUGACUACAUGUACAGGCACAUAGUUAUUUAUCUGUAAAGAAACAAAAUUAAAGAUAAGUUUACUCAUCUGUGGAAAAUUUGCAACCAAAUAUAUUUGGAUAUUCAUGCUCCAGUUACUUCCUGAAUAAUACCUAAUAUUGUCUACAGAUAUCUAUAUAUAAAAUUUGACCACGUAUACAUUUAUUUGAGUCCUUUAGUAGGAUUAUUACUGUAGCUUGGUGAAACUUGAAUCAUAGGCUGCAGUGGAAUGGCACAAACUGUAUUACAAUUAGCUUUUGUUGUUGUUGUUGUUUAAAAAAGGAAAUAUUAAAAACUGCUUGCAAUCCUGGGGUUUGUUUUGGAUUAAAAACAAAACAAAACAAAACAAAACCUAAAAAAAAAAAAAAAAAAAAAGAAAGAAAGAAAAGGAAACUUGAGAGGAUCUUUAUUCUUUCAUUCAUUCUGGUAGAUACUGCUAAGCCUGAUUUUGGUUUGGUUUGGCCUUUGGUUUAACUAUCUGACCUCCCUUUCUUGCAAGAGGUUAUGGGAAUCUUUUUCCAUUAACAGAUCCAGCUUUUAACCUCAGCACAGUUGAAACUGUGCCUAAGGUUACAUUCUUAGGGAGAAACUGAGUGAGAUUAUCACUUCUAUGAGUAUCUAUAGCAGCUACUCCUCACUGCUGGGAGCUCUCAUCCACAUAGAAAUCUCCACAGCAGAUCUGUUAGCCAAGAACACACAUCUCAGAAAGCAAGUCCUCCCUGUGACUGUCUUUGGUAAAUCCAUGCAUUAAGGUAGCUGUAUAGAGAGAUCUUCACUCUAAAGUACGCAUUCUGAUAAUAUGGAACGACAUCAAGUCUGCACAACACAAUGUGCUGCUAGAGACCUGAGCUGGCACUAUGGAGCUCAUACACUAAGUCUACGUGAAACCAUCUGGGGAAAUAGAUUUGCCAUUUCAUCUCCUAGCAGAGUACUUAGUCCAAGAGUUAGGAUCCAGUUGUUUUAGCUGGCAGAGCUAGCUAAAGUUUUCUCCAUGCCCUCUGCACUGUACUGUGUGUGUAUGCAUGUGCACCCUUUGAGCUCAGAUGCCUACAGCUCCUUCCAGUUCAUACCUCAACUUGUGGUUAGCAUAAUCCUAAAUAACAAACAGAAGGAUUCAGUAGAAUCAAAUUCAGACCUCAUUUUAGGUCCAAUUCUGGUAAUUUUGACCCAUUCUCCAGGUAAAUUCACCACAGAGCACAGAAAAUGCUACAUGUGUUACCAAACAUUAAAGUAUACCACAGUAAAUAAAGUAUAUAUGAUAAUCUAUGCAGAAAAUAAAUUAAUAUCAAGUCCCCAUAGAGAGCCUUGGAAAAGUAAUAUAAAUAUUUUGAGCUUUGCUGCAAGCUGAACGAAGUCAUCUGAAGAAGCAACAGCAUCAGAUAUGCUUUGGCAAGAUUUUUUAGGGAGCACUGGCAGAUGCAUGAAUUGUGGGAAGAGUAGGGCUGAGCACAAAAAACGGGUGGCAGGGCACAUCAUCCAGUGCUCAGAUCCCACAGUGCUGAAGGAGGUGAACAGAGUGGACCUGGAAAGGGUAUCCAAGCUCAACAUAGCAUCCAGAAUGAUUGGGUAGGUUCAUGGUAAUACAGAAGGCCUGAGGUCAAGCCAAGAAGUAAAUUCACAGGUCAGGACAAGGAUCAGAUUUGGAGAGGGCACAGUGAUGAGGUAUAAAGAGUCAGUUCAUCUGAAACCCAUCAUCGGCUGGAAUUAUUAUGCAUUUUAUUUAUAGUACGUAUAAUAUUCAUAAUAUUUAAAAUCUGUGUAUUGUAAGUACUUAGUGAAAUUAUAACAUAUUUUAAUGCAAUAAAGAUAUACUGUAAAUUUUACUUAACUGUUUUUAUUCUGCAGCUGUACUUUGCUGCUCUCUCUGCUUUCUUCUCAGCCUCCAUUCACUCUCAUACUGACACUGGAAGACAAUUCAUUGUCAGUAACAGAACAAAACAUUUCUUUCUCCAUGCUCUUAUAACACUGUUCUUAGACCAUACCAUUGUUCUCAGUGCAUUGAGCUGAUCUGAUGCAUUACUGUUCAUGCUUGAUUGGCCAUAGGUCACACAAGAAGGCUCUUCAAUCAGCAAAUAUUUUUAUGCAGGCUCAAGUCAAAAGCUGUUUCAGAAACAGAGAUGUUAUAACAGGUCAAAUCUAUCACAUGUUCUGGCUUCACUGCAUGCUCUGAAGAAGGUGGAUAUCAAAAUAUUCAGCCAUGACCCUUACAAUGGGUGUCUUCUUGAAUACCGCAAGUUAUGCUGCAGCAUAGAUAAACAGAAGAAAAUGGGUCAAAAGAAAAAAAAAAAGAAAAAAAGAACAGUAAAAAACUAUUUUAUCUCUGAAUUUCAAAAAAAUUUAGAGCAGAUUUGUUGUGUGGCACACACCUUUUUAACUUUUGGUCUGUGUUCCCUCUAGCAUUUCUGGUUUGUUCAGCUCUCCAAAUAGUAAAGCAACGUGACACUUGACAUAACAGUUACAGGCAGUAGUCUCCUUUCAGAGUCCUGUUCAGAUUUAAACUAAGAAUUGAGAAUGCAUAUGAAUUAUUGCAAAGAUUCUAUUGUUGACAUGCAAGUAUGCUCCAAAAUGGUUCUGGGCACCUGUCUCUCUUUAGGUCCUGUGUUUCUAUGACACAUAUACUGGGUGUCUAGCAUUAGUCUAGAAGGCUCUGUGCCAGGUUAGUAUACGUGUAGACUGAAGGCUAAAUCUGAAAGGAAAUGGAAAACUUACGAUUUGUAAAUAUACUUUUUUUUUUUUUUUCAUUAAAUAAAAUGUGGACUUGAAGAGAUACUGUUUGUAUCUACUGUAUAUCCUUGCAGGGGCUGCUCCAUUCAGAUGGGGCACAGUGGAAAGUAUUGGCAGAAAUCAUUGUGAAAUUGCACUGAUUUCUAUUCACAGCAAACACAGUUGCAGAAAUAUAAGCCAAGUAGGGUGAGUGCUAGUCUAUUUUUCCUGCUGAGUGUGACCUCCAUUUUCACUGGAUGAUUUCUACUUCUGAAGCUUGUGGCAUUUUGCAUGACACUGAGAUGGGAACUUCAUUAGCUCAGCAACUUUCUGUUGCCCAUAAAUUCCCUAUGUAGAAUGACAUCCCCGAUUCCUUGUUAGGAAAUGAUCUGCAGAGCUUGUUUGUUCUGUCAGAGAUUUGCAUGCAAGUUCAAAUUUAGCUACUCAUCUCCUCACCUUCCUGUCUGCUCAGAUCAUGUAUCUGGAAAGAACAAUAGCCUGUCAGCUGCUAUGGGCCGAUGCUCUUUUCUAAUCUGGAGAAAGCAGACAGUUACCCAGGAGCAGAAUGUUUUUCCCAGUGCCAUUUUAUUUCUGUACUCAGUUUGUCUGCUGAUUACAUUUUGAACAUGCCCUUUCAUAUUAAGGACUGUUACUCAUGCAUGGCCUAUGCUUAGCAUCUCAAAGUUAGGAGCAAAGUUUCACUAAUGUACAUUUCAGUGUCUUAUGAGUUACUAAUAAGGAAAUAUUUUAGUGAGGCAUAGUCAGAGAGAUUUUCAGGUAACAUAUAUUCCACACAGAGGUUAAAAGAGAAAAAAGAAGAGACAAAAUACUCAUACUUUGCGAAGCCCUUCCUGUUCAUGCUGUUGUUGAGAAAACCUCUCCUGUUCUAUAUCCAGAGACUGGAAAACUAAAAAGGUAAUGAUAAUGGGCUUUAAACUGCAUCCACAUCAAAGGAGCUCAAACCUUAAGGAAAACUUCCUUGUAGGAAAAACAGUGAUGCAGUACUGCGGUUAAGCAACAGUAACUGUGGAAAGUCCACUUUUGGAAGCUUUCAAGAACAGGUUAGGCAAAUAUUUGUCAGGAUUAACAAAUGCUCUGUCUUGAGCAAAUGUUUUGUCCUGCCCCGGGAAAAAGAGGACUGAACAUUCCCUCCAAUGCUUUUAUUUUUAUUUUUAUUUUUUUGUAGGAUUACUCUGAUUCUUUAUGUUAUAGCAAAUGUAAUUCAUGGCCUGGAAAAUCUGCCUUCAUUUAUGGAGAUUAAAAAGAGAUUGACUUACUAUAUUUGUGAAAGAGAUCAGAAACUCCUCUGGGUUAUCUUUUAGCACAUGCCAUAAGGAGAAGAUUUCUCAUUUCACCUGGAAGACAAUUUGAUCUAUCAAAGCUCCAGACAGGUGUUGUUGGUGGGAAGGUAUACUUAGGAACAAUAAAAAAUAAAAUAAAAUGUGUAUUUAACUAGUGUACCAUCACUAGAGACUUGAUGGCAUGUUCACACUAGCACUUGAGGUGGUAUUUCUGUGUGAAAAUCUGUUGUUUAGGUUCCCCCUGUAGUCAGUGGGAGCAGACAGACAGCUCUUGGAGGGACAGAGCCCAUUUUUCUUAGAUGUGGCAGGCUAUUUCUCUACGUUGACUAGAGACAGAAUCUACAAAAUCACCAAAGACCAGAGCUGAAAUCACUGUAGAUAAAUUACACCCCUGAAGUCUUUAAAUUGAUUAGCUUUCUGAAAAAUAGGGUAUAGUUCAAUUGCAAGGAGCAGAGCUUGUCGUUCUUCUUUCACUGUACGAAGCAAAAUAAAUUCCCCCUGGUCUUGGAAAGCUCUGUGUAUCAGUCACUCUUCUGCAAAACAUCAGAUUAAAUAAUUACAGUGGUCCCAUCCAGACUUAAAUUCUAUUAAUUAAAGAAAAAAAGAAAUGCAAAGGCCAAUUAGAUCUCAUAGAAUUUCUACACAUGAGAAAUAGCAAAGAUAAUAAAAGUCAGAUUUUCAAAGGUAAGGCGCUUUCAUUGCCAGUAAAAUUUUUGCAUAUGUCUAUAAUUCUUGUGAUAACAGGCACUAGCAUAAAAAAAAAAAAAGAAGAUUGAUUUCCUUUUCAGAUUUCAUGAGGUUGAUUUAGGUAACACGUUGUUUGAAAGAGAGUAAUAUUAACAAUGUAUAGAUAACACAGCUGAGCAAGAACACAAGGUACUAUAAUUUACAAGAGUGCAGAAUGGCUGAAAUGCUGAAAUGAUUAAAUUUAAAGAGUACGGAGUAUUUAUAUUCAAGAAAUAAAUCUUAAGAUAAAGUCAUAAGAAGAUGUUUCAGCUUUUUUCACUAUAGAAAUGAUACAUACGGCACGUAGUGGAGAACUACCAUAGUGGUUCUGAUUUAUAAGCACAUCAAAAUUUGCCUGAACAUCACAUAUCCAUUUAAUUUUAUUUCCUCUUUUUUUAUGAUUAUAUUUUAUUUUUUUCUUUGUUUGCUCAUAUUGUGAUGUAUGCUUGGAAACAAAUUAUUUAAAAUGCAUUUCUGUCAUUUGUUUAUGGACCAUCACAGAACUGGGAGGAGGUCAGAGGAGCAGAAGUGGUAUGAAUCCUCAUCAUAAACCUUCUGAGAAAUGCUUGAUUCUAGUGAACUCUCACACCUCUUGAUUCCUUUCUGUGUUAAUGAUUUACAUAGGAUCAUACGCAUAGCCAACGGUUCUGAGCCACUUACAGUAAGCUGUCAAAGAACUCUCUCGUUGGUGCACGCAGUUCUCUCUCAAACACGCCAGCUAAUGACUUAUCAGAUGAUGAUUAUCUCUAGCAAGUAUCUAGCAGAUAUUUCGCUUGAGUUAGUAUCACCAGGAUGACUAUCUGGAAUGUGCUUGUUCAAAAGUAUCUUUGCUGCCUUUAAAAAGGCCUCAGGCACAUCUUAUUGUUCUGUGGAAGUAGAAUGAAGAAGACUUCAGACACAAUAUUUUGUCCUUUCAGAAUGAGAUUUGCCAUAGUAAUAUUUAAAACCCAUUUGGAGUUAAAUGUUACCUGAGACAAUAUGCAAACAAUACAAAAGUGGAUGACUUUGUAAAAGCCCCAACGCAAUACUGCUCAUGCAUUCUAUGAAACUUCCGAAGCAGGAAACACUUUUGGCUCCAGAACAGUAUUGUCUUCUGAUUUCCUGAACUCAGAGAUGCAGGCAUAUGGAUAGGGAGUACAGCUCAGUAAAGAUUUUGGGCAAAUGGCCAGACUGGAGGAAGCUUCCCAACACUUUCCAGCCAGGAAGCCUCAGUUGACAAUCCUAGUGCCAGGCCACAGCACUGCCUUUCAUUCACACUAUGAGUGAUGGUUUGCUCAGAGAACAGCUUCCUUGUUGCACUGACUGAGGCCAGCAUAGGACAGAAAUGCCAGAAGGCACUGUGUGUAUGGCCUCCUUUGCAAGUUGUUCAUCCAGGCACACAGAAAAUAACCAGAAAGGACAAGGCACAUGCACUAGGUCCUGCCAAGUUGUCAAGAGAAGUUCAUGUGGUACAAUGCAGAAGCAGGACAGAUUCCAUGUGAAUAAAGCCUCUAUUUCCCUUUGUAGAGAGGCACAUGCCUUACUAGGAUGUGUACUGUUUCCUUUCCAACAACCAGUGCCUCUUAGGAUUUGCUGAUGAGUGCAAGUUUCUGUUGCUUUGGAAAAAAUUGUUGCAAAAGAUGAUGAGGUGGUGUAUUAACUCCUCUCUGCUUUUCAGUUGGCUUCACUUUCCAUGGGAGGACUACUUUACUCAAAUAUUCAAGAUGAAAAAAGUGCCUUCGCUGUUACUCUUUUAAAAAUAUAUAUUAUUAGUAUUGUGAUCCCUCAAGAGAACUGUUGCACACACAGCAACCAGCUAGUAAAGGGCAGAGAUAGCAAUCAGGAAUGAUUAAACCGUAAAAAAAUGUCAGUGGCAUAACAUGACCUAACUGUGAUUCCACAAAUUAUAGAUGAAUGCAGAGGCUGAAAAAGCAAAAGCAGAAAACACACUGUAAUCUUUAUAUUCAUAUCCCCCAAAUUUUACCAAAUUCUUUGGACCAGUUGCAGACAUUUACAGAAACUAGCUGCUGUUUUCUGUACUUUGUCCAUUGAGAAAUGGGUUUGGGUAGAAAAGUUGACAAGAGAGCUUGAGAUUAAACUUGUCCUCGUCUUUAGAGGUCAGAUAGGUCAUAUUUACAGAGACACAUGAGCAAAUUCCUACCCCCAGUGUGCUGAUGAAAACAGGUUGGGAUGGAACAACAUGACCUUUACAACUCUGCUACUAAGAAAAGCCACGUGUGCAAAGGUACACACAAGAAGGAGGGGGAAGAAGUGGAAGCUUGCUCUCAGUGUUAGAUUAACUCCUGCUUCUUAGUGACAGGCUAUCAAGUAUGUGCUUGAGCUGAGAAUCCUACAAGUGCCAUGAACAGUACCAGACUAACCUCUGCUCUGAGGCUUGCUUGUGAAAGACAGGGCAGGUUUGCUUGGUUUGCUCUUGGAUUCAUGGCAAGACCUAUCCAGAAAAUAGGAUGCUGUACAUACCUGACACAGCUUCUCUUCUGAGAAAAAAUCCUGAAGGUUUCACCAUAUUUUGUUAUGAUAUAUCCAAGAAAGAGAACUAGACUGUCACAUUUUCAUUCUAAAAAUAAUCAAAACCAGCACAUGGCCCAACUGAAACACAAGAGAAUCAUUUUCAGAUUUUCACUUUGUCUUAAAUUUUGUGAUAGAGUUGUUUUAUGUUAAUUUUGCAAGAAAAGCUAGAAAAUGUCUGUUGAGCUCACAGCUUAGGGUUGGGGUUCUGAGGUGGGAGCCUGGCGUGCACUCCCACAGUCAGUCAAGACAAGGAAAAGCUCUCAGGCUUUCCCAUUUUAGAUUCAUUCUGGACUGAGGCAAAAAUUUUAUCAGUUCAGAGUAAGGUUUGAAAAAAACUCUGCCUUUAAACCCUACUACUUCCAGUCUAAGACAGUUUACUACUGCCUAAGAGACAAAAGAGUUAAUCCCUUUCCUGACAUGUUCACAGGACUCUGCAUUUCACAGAGCGUUCAAAAACAGAAAUGAAUGAUUCUUCUCAGUAUUAUUAAAAGGUAAAAAACCUUUCUAUCUUUAAAAGGUAAAAAACUUUCUUUAUGGACAGAGAAGAGUGGAGUUUUUUGAGCUGUAGAAGAAAUAUUACCUCUAGAGUCUAUGCAUUAGCUACUAUAAAUGGCUUAGAAAUCUUGCUCUGAGAGAAGACAGGUGCUACUGCUACAAAAACCUUCUUCUUAUACACCUUCUGACAUGAGUGCUGAUGUACACACUGCUUCCUUCAGCUUCUCCACAUGUUACUGAAACCAGUCUAAAUGCAAAGUCCUGUCCUUCCCAGACACAUCUCCAAGGUAAAAGACUUGAGGUUCUCAAGUGAAGGAUAACUCUCAUACAAUUUUGGUGCAGUUUAUACGACAGAAGGAAGGUGUGCCACCCAAAGGAACCUGGACAAGAUUGAAAAGUGGGCCCACAUGAACACAGCGAGGUUCAACAAUCCAAGUCUAAGGUAUUGCACUUGGAUUGGAGCAGUGCCAGACAUCCCAGACUGGAAGAAGGACAUGGAGGUUUGGAGGACAAAAAGCUGGACAUGAGCCAGCAGUGUGCGUUUCCAGCUCAGAAGACCUACUGUAUUCUCAGUUGCUUCAAAAGAGGGAGGGCCAGCAGGGAGAGGGAAAGGACUGUUGCCCUCUGCUUUGCCUUCAUGGGGCCCUGCCUGCAGCACUGCUUCCAGGCCUGGGGCCCCCAGCACAAGAAAGAUGCUGAGCUGUUGGAGCGGUUCCAGAGAAGGGCCAUGAAGAUGAUCAGAGGGCUGGAGCACCUCUCUUACAAAGACAGGCUCAGGGACUUGGGAUUGUUCAUCCUGGAGAACAGAAGGCUCCUGGAGGACCUCACUGCUGCCUUCCAGUACUCAAAAGGAACUUGCAAACAGGAGGGAAACCAACUUUUUACAAAGGUAGAUAGUGAUAGAACAAAGAGGAAUGGCUUUAAACUAAAAUAAAGGAGGUUUAGGUUAGAUGUUCGGAGGAAAUUCUUUACUCCAAGGGUGAAGAGGCACUAGCACAGGCUGCCCAGAGAAGCUGUGAGUGUCCCAUCCCUAGAGGUGCUUAAGGCCAGGUUGGAUGGGGUCCUGGGCAGCCUGAUCUGGUGGGAGAAGACCAGCCCACGGCAGGGGAGGUUGGUACUGAAUUGUUUUUAAUGUCCCUUCUCAUCUAGGCCAUUUUGUGAUUCUGCGGUCCCUGAAAGAUAUUUGUAGGGUUUUUUUACAAUAUUGUUUUGGAGUGGUAACAGUUCUGAAAUUGUGGAAUUCCCUAGAAAAUAGAAAAAACUGUUCCCUCUCAGCACACAAUGUGUUUUAAAAUGUCUAGCAGUUCCUCAGUUUUCAAAAAAGCACACACAUGAUGCAUCCCACAGCAUCUGGUAGGAAACGUAACAUGAGAAAUUCUCUUGAUUAUACAGCUGGAUACAACAGGGCCACAGAUUCAUAAGUAAGCUAUUAAAAUUGUAAGGUCAAUGCAUUUUUCUUUAUCCUGGUAUGUCAUUUGUAUGCUCCAGCAUUUUGUCAACUAAGCCUUUUUUCCUCUUGAGCAACCUUAUUGACGAUAAAAUGUACGAAAUCCAGGUGUAGCCUUGCUUGCAGCUUAAGAAAGCCUUUGAAGAGGCCACAGAAUCAUAUAUCAUUAAGAACUGCAUGAAGUAUCAAAAAAACUUUUGGCCAGCCCAACAAGCCUGCAAAUAAAGGCCAUGCCAUCAGUCUGGAAACAUGAAGCAGCCCAUCAAGGUUAUUUUGGUAUAUUUUGCAUUUUAGCACUUGACUACCAGGUUUCUUUCAAAACCACCACUAAAACACCCAAUUUCAGCAGUGAUGUAUGAAUGAGGCUCAGUCUGCAAAUCAAAUAGUUUUUCAAGUUCAGGGUUGAUUGCAGCCAAGCCCUUUCAUCAUCAUCAGGGUGUGCGAUAGGUAAAUGGCCUAAUUCUCACUUCUACCAGAGUGCCAGUGCUGAUACAGCCCUCACUAUCAUUGUGAUUAUAAAGCUACCUGACAGCGAUACAACACUGUCCUCUUCUAAUACAGAAAUAGGAGUUAACAAUACAUCUGCAUUCACACUAUGGCCAGUCUAAACUUGGACGUUUUACUGGCAGAGACAUGCUGGUUCAGAGUGCAGAGAAAAGUGUCACACACCUCUCUGACAGCUGUGCUGGCAGGCACCCUGGAGGAGUGCUUAGAUAGACAAAACAAGUUUCUGCAGGGUAGAAGUAGCUGUCUGCAUAAGCUUGUCUCAUAUGAGAAGCAGGGUACUUUGAACUGGCUUAGCACCCUUUCACUGAGUUUGACCCAAUGUCUAAAGCCAUAGCUGUGUCAUUAAAGAUACUUAAUUCCAGGAAAUAGUAAAAGCAGUAACAGCGAGAGAGCUCUUUUGCCAGUAUAGAUAUCUUCCCUCAAGGGUAGGAAGUGCAUCAGUAGAACUACCAUAAAUAAGAUCUGAAGGGCACGGGUUAUACCUCUUGAACUACAACAAUGUUGUUAAAAUGGUCCAGAAGAUGAGGCAGUCUGAGACUACUCUUUGACUGCAGAUGACUUCAGUUAGAGAUGCUUUAGGACAAUGUAUCAAAAUAGCUGUAGAUUAUUAAGCUGUAAGUUUUAUUAGGUGGUUUCAAUAAUGCUGUUGCAAGAGAGUAAAAUUGCAGGCUCAGACAGUGACAGUGAAGUUGAACUCAAACUGGGAUGGGGAUUCCCAAGGAUGGCAAAUUUGGACAUCCCAUUUGUGACUCAGAAGCUGAGGAGACUCCAAAAGCUUCCCUGCUGCCUUGUGUACAAAACUCUGCUGUGUACAUUCUUCCUCCCAUUGUUUUACAGUGCUAAAAUUAGUGCAGAGCGACUGUGUAAACAUGUAUGGCAAUAAAGAAACUUUGCUGAAUGUGGUUUUGUUUUUCAUAAUUUCAGCAUUCUGCUCUGAAACAGAAAACUGUUGACAUUAAAUCAGACCUUCAUCACCCUGCUAGAUGCCCUGACCUUCUGCAGCAAAUCCUAGAAAAGAUUUUGACCUUUUCAUGACAAAGCACCAUAUAAAGAAUGGAUUCUGAUCAGUGCUGAGGUACUUUGAAUUACACAGCAUCUGAAAAAGCACAUCUUCUAUUCUAGAGAUUGGUUCUGCUUUCCGUGAACUUCCAAUUGAACAAGACUCUCCAGGAACAAGGCUGCUGAAUAGAAUUAGACAAAUCCAAGACGUGGAACAAAACUUUGAACUUUGUGGGUUUUUUGUUUGUUUGUUUGUUUUGUUUUGUUUUUGGGAGAGUGCUGUUUUUUCAUUUAAAUCACCAAAAUGCGUGCAGAGCUCAUAUCCAAAUCAUUUCAUGGACAUAUAAGUAGAUUUAGUAGUGUUACCUGUUAUAUAGGUAGUGCUUGAAGAUGCUACUCUCAAUUGUUUAUACAGUUGGAAAAAAAGCUCACUUGGGCUGGAAUUUUCUUUGCUGGUUACCUAUUGUAGGUUUCCGAAUGUUCUUUAAACUUCAGUCCAAAUCACUUCUAAGAAUUAUUUCUAAAGGAAAUCUGAAGACUGUACAGAGUUGCUCCAAUAAACCUCAUGCCUGAUACAGUGGAAAUCCCCACACUUGCUGUAAACAACUGGCUCGGAGACCUGAAAGCAAUCUGACUGUUGCAAGCCUACUUUUGUUGUUAUUUCACAUUUCUCAGUUCAUCUACAGUAGACACAGUCUGAAACUGUGUGUGAGCCAUUUAAUUCUCUUAUCAGUUAUGAUAGCAUAAUACUAAUUUUGGAAAUUGAAAUACCUAAGAAAAGAUGCGUGCCAAUACUCAUCCUGUGGAAAACAGCCCUCUGUUCUCUCACUUGUGUAAGCAGCUGGCAGGGGUACACGCCAGUACUACAUCAUGUCCUGUCAGUGGUCUGUUUUGUCCUAGAACCCAGGAAUAUCCUCAGGUUAAUACCAUGGCAGCAAAGGGACUUUUGCAGAGAAAUAACCUUUGUCCUGUCUCUUGUUAGCUGCUGGUGUCCAAUUGGGAUGAUGAUUUUUCUAUCUGGAAGUAUUCCUGUUUGUACACUGAUCUGACCCUAUAGCAUUCAC